rnacentral:rRNA from 1 species
AUGCCAACCACGCUUGACGCUUUUAGACCUAUCUCACUCCAAAACUGCUCGAUCAAAGCUGUUGCUAAGGUUAUCACUUCUCGCCUAAAGCCGCACAUCCCUCUGCUAGUUCAUGGCAACCAGACUGGCUUCAUCUCUCGAAGAAACAUCGCCGAAAACUUUGUUUUUGCUGCCGAUCUCAUUAGCUCUUACCACCCUCGUAAAAAACCAACGAUGGUUUUCAAGCUGGAUUUCAUAAAGGCUUUCGACUUUGUGGCAUGGCCUUCCCUCGAUAAAAUCCUGGCAAUUCGCGGGUUCUCUCCAAUCUUCCGCAGCUGGACCCAAAAUCUUCUCCACACAAGCAAAACGGCAGUACUUCUGAAUGGGAUCCCGGGCAAAUGGAUCCAAUGCAAAAAUGGGUUGAGACAAGGUGAUCUGGCCUCUCCAUACCUCUUCCUCAUCGUCGCCGACCUUCUAAAAUAGCUCAUCAUCCAGAAAUCUGAUCCUACUCUCCACCACCCCAUCUUCUCCCACCUGCCCCCCACAGUCCUCCAAUACGCUGAUGACACGCUCAUCGUUGUAGCCGCCUCUCCUGCCGCUGCUUCAACCCUUAAAGUAAUCCUAAAUAGUUUCACACAAGUCACGGGCCUCGCCAUCAACUUCUCCAAAACCACCUUAGCCACCCUCCACACAGACAAAGCCACGGCUGCCUCCAUCGCCCUCGUCAUGGGGUGCUCAUGUGCUUCCUUCCCGCAAACCUACCUCGGCCUCCCCCUCGCCCCGACCAAACCUCUCACCAAUGUUUUCAACCCUCUGGUCGAACGAACUAGGAAACUACUUACCGGCUGGCGUGCCAAACUUCUUGAUAAAGGUGAUCAGCUCAUUCUCAUUUCUGCGGUGCUAGAUUCAAUCCUCACCUAUUUUAUGUCUGUUUUUCACAUCCCAAAGAAAACUAUCAAAACUGUGGACUCCGUGAGAAGGAGUUUUUUUGGGCAGGAGACGAUGCUUGCUCGGGUGCUCAAUGUUUUGUUGCAUCGGAAAAUGUCUGUUUACCAAAAAAAAUCGGUGGUUUAG